rnacentral:rRNA from 1 species
UUAGGAAUAUUCGUCAAUGGGGGAAACCCUGAACGAGCAAUGCCGCGUGAAUGAUGACGGUCCUCUGGAUUGUAAAAUUCUGUUGUUGAGGAAGAACGUUUGGUAUAGGAAAUGAUAUCAAAGUGACGGUACUCUUCAAGAAAGCUCCGGCUAACUACGUGCCAGCAGCCGCGGUAAUACGUAGGGAGCGAGCGUUAUCCGAAUUUAUUGGGUGUAAAGCGUGUGUAGGCGGUUUAUUAAGUCCAAGGUUUAAUUCCGAAGCUUAACUUCGGUUCGCCUUGGAAACUGGUUUACUUGAGUAUGGUAGAGGCAAGUGGAAUUUCUAGUGUAGCGGUAAAAUGCUUAGAUAUUAGAAGGAACACCAGUGGCGAAGGCGACUUGCUGGGCCAUCACUGACGCUGAGGCACGAAAGCGUGGGGAGCAAAUAGG